AACGAACGCUGGCGGCAGGCCUAACACUUGCAAGUCGAGCGAAGCCUUCGGGCUUAGCGGCGGACGGGUGAGUAACGCGUGGGAACGUGCCCUUUGGUACGGAAUAGCCCCGGGAAACUGGGAGUAAUACCGUAUGUGGUCGAGAGACGAAAGAUUUAUCGCCAAAGGAUCGGCCCGCGUUGGAUUAGGUAGUUGGUGGGUUAAUGGCCUACCAAGCCGACGAUCCAUAGCUGGUUUGAGAGGAUGAUCAGCCACACUGGGACUGAGACACGGCCCAGACUCCUACGGGAGGCAGCAGUGGGGAAUCUUAGACAAUGGGGGAAACCCUGAUCUAGCCAUGCCGCGUGAUCGAUGAAGGCCUUAGGGUUGUAAAGAUCUUUCAGUGGGGAAGAUAAUGACUGUACCCACAGAAGAAGCCCCGGCUAACUCCGUGCCAGCCGCCGCUGUAACAC
rnacentral:rRNA from 1 species